UACAGAGGGUGCAAGCGUUAAUCGGAAUUACUGGGCGUAAAGGGUGCGUAGGUGGUUUGAUAAGUUAGGUGUGAAAGUCCUGGGCUUAACCUGGGGACUGCGCCUAAUACUGUUAGGCUAGAGUACUGUAGAGGGAGGUGGAAUUUCCAGUGUAGCAGUGAAAUGCGUAGAUAUUGGAAGGAACAUCAGUGGCGAAGGCGACUUCCUGGACAGAUACUGACACUGAGGCACGAAAGCGUGGGGAGCAAACAGG
rnacentral:rRNA from 1 species